UUAAGGCAGAAAGUAGGGCAGUGUGGCACCUUAAAGACUAACUAGUUCAAAGGCAUGAGCUCUUAUAGGCAACAACCUACUUCCUCAGAUACUAUGAAAGAAGGGGCAGUAAGAGAAGGAUCAACAGUUAAAUGUCCUGGAGAGUACCUGGACUAGCUGUUAACUCAGUAUCUCACAAAGGGUUAACUGCCUUGUUCAUCUCAAUUGAUCCUAUCAAUCUCCUCUGGCAGGGUCCCCUCCCCAUCCCUUUCCCUUCUGUAUAAAACCCUCUCUUUCUGCCAGUUCUUUCAUAGCAUCUGGCAAAAUAGGCUGUUGCCUAUAAAAGCUCAUGCCUCUCUGAACUAGUUGGUUUCUAAGGUGUUACACUACCCUAACUUCUGCUUGCCUGACUUCAAACUGACAUGGCUCACCACCUUUCUGAGAUCCACACGUCCAGAGCAGGCGCUGCGCUCCCCUUCGCAACUUCACUAUAGGCUGCAUAAAAGGUCUAAGGGUUAUUUUAAGCGCUGAGCAUCAUAUCGAUAUUUCAAUCGUAUUAGACUCUACUUGCAAAGAAUUCACCUGCGAACCAAAAGGCCACUUCAAAAAAAAACAAACCCGACCGUGACUACCGCGCUGAGGUAUGACGCCAAUCGAGGCAGGACCAAGAGGAUAUGGUUUCAAGAUGCCUGCAACUUAAACAGGUACAAACGUAUGUCGCAUUCCUUACUCAAACCUGACUGCCGCCAGGAAGCCAGCAAGUGCACUUUUACUGACGACCCCAUCGUGAGAGCGGCGUUUCACAGAAAUACGUUCCCUUGCUUCCCGAAAGCUUGCGAUUAAUUUUUUUUUUCUUUUUUUGGACAAAGAGCUAAUAAACCGAUUCCUUGCA